UCCGGCUUAUCACCGGCAGUCCCACUAGAGUGCCCAACUGAAUGAUGGCAACUAAUGGCAAGGGUUGCGCUCGUUGCGGGACUUAACCCAACAUCUCACGACACGAGCUGACGACAGCCAUGCAGCACCUGUCACCGGCCAAUUGAAGAGCUCCGUCUCCGGAGCCCCGACCGGGAAGUCAAGCCCUGGUAAGGUUCUUCGCGUUGCUUCGAAUUGAGCAACAUCCUCCACCGCUUGUGUGAGCCCCCGUCAAUUCCUUUGAGUUUCACCCUUGCGAGCGUACUCCCCAGGUGGAAUACUUAUCAGGUUUCCUUCGGCACUGACCAAAUAAGGCCAACACCAAGUAUUCAUCGUUUAGGGCGUGGACUAC
rnacentral:misc_RNA from 1 species